rnacentral:rRNA from 1 species
UACGGGGGGAGCAAGCGUUGUUCGGAUUUACUGGGCGUAAAGGGCGCGUAGGCGGCCUCCGCAAGUCAGUUGUGAAAUCUCCGAGCUUAACUCGGAAAGGUCAACUGAUACUGCGGGGCUAGAGUGCGGAAGGGGCAACUGGAAUUCUUGGUGUAGCGGUGAAAUGCGCAGAUAUCAGGAAGAACACCUAUGGCGAAGGCAGCACUCUGGGACGGUACUGACGCUGAGACGCGAAAGCGUGGGGAGCGAACAGG